rnacentral:rRNA from 1 species
GCGGCGGACGGGUGAGUAAUACCUAGGAAUCUGCCUGGUAGUGGGGGACAACGUUUCGAAAGGAACGCUAAUACCGCAUACGUCCUACGGGAGAAAGCAGGGGACCUUCGGGCCUUGCGCUAUCAGAUGAGCCUAGGUCGGAUUAGCUAGUUGGUGAGGUAAUGGCUCACCAAGGCGACGAUCCGUAACUGGUCUGAGAGGAUGAUCAGUCACACUGGAACUGAGACACGGUCCAGACUCCUACGGGAGGCAGCAGUGGGGAAUAUUGGACAAUGGGCGAAAGCCUGAUCCAGCCAUGCCGCGUGUGUGAAGAAGGUCUUCGGAUUGUAAAGCACUUUAAGUUGGGAGGAAGGGCAGUAAGCUAAUACCUUGCUGUUUUGACGUUACCGACAGAAUAAGCACCGGCUAACUCUGUGCCAGCAGCCGCGGUAAUACAGAGGGUGCAAGCGUUAAUCGGAAUUACUGGGCGUAAAGCGCGCGUAGGUGGUUCGUUAAGUUGGAUGUGAAAUCCCCGGGCUCAACCUGGGAACUGCAUCCAAAACUGGCGAGCUAGAGUAGGGCAGAGGGUGGUGGAAUUUCCUGUGUAGCGGUGAAAUGCGUAGAUAUAGGAAGGAACACCAGUGGCGAAGGCGACCACCUGGGCUCAUACUGACACUGAGGUGCGAAAAGCGUGGGGAGCAAAUAGGAUUAGAUACCCCUGGUAGUCCACGCCCGUAAACGAUGUCAACUAGCCGUUGGAAAUCCUUUGAGAUUUUUGGCGC